rfam:Schistosoma curassoni strain Dakar, Senegal genome assembly, scaffold: SCTD_scaffold0006561
AUCCAGUUGACGAGUCCCAAAUUGGACGAAACAUGUGUCUUGGAU